GAGUUUUCGCUUUUAUAACGGUUAGGCAAACAUGGUACUAGUUGUCUGCGCAUGCGUCAGUCGUUCGUCAGAUUCUGACCAAUGGAUAUUCUCGUUCACUUUCGUGACAUUUAUAUUCGUGUACUAUCGUGUACUAGAAGUCAGUUCCCGUUUUAUCAUUAUUGGAAUCGAUUGGAAUGGCUCUUAGCUGAAGCUUCUCUCUUCUCUGAAGCUUAUUCUGAAGACUGAACAACAAGGGAAGAGGUAUAAAGCUUUGUCAAGCUUGUUAAGGUCAGAUAUUUUUGUGUGGGCCCUAUGGCCGGCUAUGCUAUCAAGUCUUGUUCAUGUUUGGCAAGAAUGUAGGUAGACUAUAGUUUCAUCAUUAAUAUGGUGGAUCAAGUGAAGAGUGUGAGCUAGAGAACUUGGUGCUGCCAUCAUCAGCUCGUCGACAAUGACACUAUAACCGAGAAAUUUAAUAUGUAUAGAUCUACACGUAUUUAAAAUGUCUACUUCUCUGUACAGGAGCAAUGGCUAAUAUCCAGCUAUCCCAACAGUGCUCCUCUUGGCUAUACUAACGGACGAGACUGGACAGUUUGAGACACAGGACUGGAGUAUGACCUGCUCAUUCGAGCGUUGCUGGGUAGCUCAGAGACAUCAAGAGAAUCUACGUUUUCUCAAGCAAUGAGUUACGAGUUGGGGCCUAGAAUCAGAGAAGUCCAGCAGGCUGCUAAAUCUUUUUGAAACGUAAUUUGAAGGCAUUCAAUCAUCCUGAAGUUGCCCUGGGUCACUGUAAUUGUGCUGCAGCACAACUGGCAACUCCCCAGGCCUUUGUGAAGCAGCUCCCUAUGUGCAUCUUUUGUGUACUCACUCUGUGCAUUUUCUGUGUACAAAUUUCUAUUAUUGAUUUAUUAAA